rnacentral:rRNA from 1 species
GACGAACGCUGGCGGCGUGCCUAAUACAUGCAAGUCGAACGCAGUGGGGACGGGUGAGUAACACGUGGGUAACCUCCCAUCAGAGGGGAUAACACUUGGAAACAGGUGCUAAACCGAUACUGAUGGAUGGACCCGCGGGGCAUUAGCUAGUUGGUGAGGUAACGGCUCCCAAAGGCCACGAUGCAUAGCCGACCGUGGAGGGUGAUCUGCCACCCUGGGACGGGGACACGGCCCAGACUCCUACGUGAGGCAGCAGUAGGGAAGCUUCGGCAAUGGACGAAAGUCUGACCGAGCAACGCCGCGUUAUUGAAGAAGGUGUUAGGAUCGUAAAACUAUGUUGUUAGAGAAGCGGUAUCUAACCAGAAAGCCACGGCUAACUACGUGCCAGCAGCCGCGGUAAUAC